UACGGGGGGGAGCAAGCGUUGUUCGGAUUUACUGGGCGUAAAGGGCGCGUAGGCGGCCACCGCAAGUCGACUGUGAAAUCUCCGGGCUUAACCCGGAAAGGUCAGCCGAUACUGCGGGGCUAGAGUGCAGAAGGGGCAACUGGAAUUCUCGGUGUAGCGGUGAAAUGCGCAGAUAUCAGGAGGAACACCGAUGGCGAAGGCAGGUCUCUGGGCAUUAACUGACGCUGAGGAGCGAAAAGCAUGGGGGAGCGAACAGG
rnacentral:rRNA from 1 species